rnacentral:rRNA from 1 species
UACGAAGGGGGCUAGGCGUUGCUCGGAAUCACUGGGCGUAAAGGGUGCGUAGGCGGGUCUUUUAAGUCAGAGGUGAAAUCCUGGAGCUCAACUCCAGAACUGCCUUUGAUACUGAAGAUCUUGAGUUCGGGAGAGGUGAGUGGAACUGCGAGUGUAGAGGUGAAAUUCGUAGAUAUUCGCAAGAACACCAGUGGCGAAGGCGGCUCACUGGCCCGAUACUGACGCUGAGGCACGAAAGCGUGGGGAGCAAACAGG